rnacentral:rRNA from 1 species
UACGUAGGGGGCAAGCGUUGUCCGGAAUCAUUGGGCGUAAAGAGCGUGUAGGCGGCCAGAUAAGUCCGCUGUGAAAUCUCGAGGCUCAACUUCGAGCUGUCGGUGGAAACUGUCUGGCUAGAGUCCGGAAGAGGAGAAUAGAAUUCCUGGUGUAGCGGUGAAAUGCGCAGAUAUCAGGAAGAACACCCGUGGCGAAGGCGGCUCUCUGGGACGGUACUGACGCUGAGACGCGAAAGCGUGGGGAGCGAACAGG